rnacentral:rRNA from 1 species
GACGGGGGGAGCAAGCGUUGUUCGGAUUUACUGGGCGUAAAGGGCGCGUAGGCGGCAAUUCAAGUCAUCUGUGAAAUCUCCGGGCUUAACUCGGAAUGGUCAGGUGAUACUGCUUUGCUAGAGUGCAGAAGGGGCAAUCGGAAUUCUUGGUGUAGCGGUGAAAUGCGUAGAUAUCAAGAGGAACACCUGAGGUGAAGACGGGUUGCUGGGCUGACACUGACGCUGAGGCGCGAAAGCUAGGGGAGCAAACGGG